rnacentral:rRNA from 1 species
UUAGCAUGGAAUAAUAAAAUAGGACGUGUGGUUCUAUUUUGUUGGUUUCUAGGACCGCCGUAAUGAUUAAUAGGGACAGUCGGGGGCAUCAGUAUUCAAUUGUCAGAGGUGAAAUUCUUGGAUCUAUUGAAGACUAACUACUGCGAAAGCAUUUGCCAAGGAUGUUUUCAUUGAUAAGGAACGAAAGUUAGGGGAUCGAAGACGAUCAGAUACCGUCGUAGUCUUAACUAUAAACUAUGCCGACUAGGGAUCGGACGAUGUUAUCUUUUGACUCGUUCGGCACCUUUCGAGAAAUCAAAGUGCUUGGGCUCCAGGGGGAGUAUGGUCGCAAGGCUGAAACUUAAAGAAAUUGACGGAAGGGCACCACCAGGGGUGGAACCUGCGGCUUAAUUUGACUCAACACGGGGAAACUCACCAGGUCCAGACACAGUGAGGAUUGACAGAUUGAUAGCUCUUUCUUGAUUCUGUGGGUGGUGGUGCAUGGCCGUUCUUAGUUGGUGGAGUGAUUUGUCUGCUUAAUUGCGAUAACGAACGAGACCUUAACCUGCUAAAUAGCCCUUAUUGCUUCGGCAGUAUGCUGGCUUCUUAGAGGGACUAUCGGCUCAAGCCGAUGGAAGUUUGAGGCAAUAACAGGUCUGUGAUGCCCUUAGAUGUCCUGGGCCGCACGCGCGUUACACUGACAAAGCCAGCGAGUAUUUCCUUGGCCGGAAGGCCGGGUAAUCUUGUUAAACUUUGUCGUGCUGGGGAUAGAGCAUUGCAAU